AAUGGGCGCAAGCCUGAUGCAGCCAUGCCGCGUGAGUGAAGAAGGCCUUAGGGUUGUAAAACUCUUUCGCCGGUGAAGAUAAUGACGGUAGCCGGUAAAGAAGCCCCGGCUAACCCCGUGCCAGCAGCCGCGGUAAUACGGAGGGGGCUAGCGUUGUUCGGAAUUACUGGGCGUAAAGCGCACGUAGGCGGAUUGGUCAGUUGGGGGUGAAAUCCCGAGGCUCAACCUCGGAACUGCCCUCAAUACUGCCAAUCUUGAGUUCGAGAGAGGUGAGUGGAAUUCCUAGUGUAGAGGUGAAAUUCGUAAAUAUUAGGAAGAACACCAGUGGCGAAGGCGGCUCACUGGCUCGAUACUGACGCUGAGGUGCGAAAGCGUGGGGAGCAAACAGGAUU
rnacentral:rRNA from 1 species